rnacentral:lncRNA from 1 species
AGGACAUAGGCUGCUAAUGAACAGCCCCAUCUGAUUUAAUCACUGCAAUGACCGUGAACUGUACGGUUACCUCCGUGUGUCACAGGAAGACUCUUUUGACUUAAGCACCCUUCCAUGGUCAUGAGGUUUCUGGUUGCCUCUGUGUUAGAAGCUUGGAGACCAAUGCCUUCUGCUGUGAUCGCGUUCUCCACAGUUGCCUCUGGGUAGGAGCCUGGACACUAAUAGAAAAUGGAUGCACUUGAGCCGACCUAAGCAUUCAUGGUCAUGAGAUUUGUGGUUGCCACUGUUGGUUAGGAGCAUAGAGAUCAGUAAUGGACACACCUGGGCUGGCAGAACAUCUUGCCUUGAUCUGGAGCCCCAUGUCUGCCCCUCUGUAGAGGUGCACAUGGGCCAAUGAUGGAUGCAAUGAGCUGAUCAUUUUGCUGUGAUCAAGGCUAUGUUGCCUCUGUGUUAGGCCAAUGUGAGUAAUGGUUCUUGUCUUGGUUUAGGUUGUUUAAUAGUAUUCCUGAUAUUAUUAAAAAUUAUUUAAUAUAAUAAAAAGUUAACUGGCUUAAUGAUAAUGUGCAACAUUGAGGUUAAUUAAUCAAAGAGAUGUAUUCUCUGUGGGAAAUGAUUGUAUAGACAAAUGUAAGGAUUCUUCAAAUAUCUUGUUCUUGGGUUUUCAAAAUCAUGUAUUCAUUUUAUUAUCAAAGAAGAAAUGAUUUAUUCAAUAAAUAUUUAGAAAUGAAUGAUG